rnacentral:rRNA from 1 species
UGGGGAAUUUUGGACAAUGGGCGAAAGCCUGAUCCAGCAAUGCCGCGUGUGUGAAGAAGGCCUUCGGGUUGUAAAGCACUUUUGUCCGGAAAGAAAUCCUUGGCUCUAAUACAGUCGGGGGAUGACGGUACCGGAAGAAUAAGCACCGGCUAACUACGUGCCAGCAGCCGCGGUAAUACGUAGGGUGCAAGCGUUAAUCGGAAUUACUGGGCGUAAAGCGUGCGCAGGCGGUUUGCUAAGACCGAUGUGAAAUCCCCGGGCUCAACCUGGGAACUGCAUUGGUGACUGGCAGGCUAGAGUAUGGCAGAGGGGGGUAGAAUUCCACGUGUAGCAGUGAAAUGCGUAGAGAUGUGGAGGAAUACCGAUGGCGAAGGCAGCCCCCUGGGCCAAAUACUGACGCUCAUGCACGAAAGCGUGGGGAGCAAACAGGAUUAGAUACCCUGGUAGUCCACGCCCUAAAACGAUGUCAACUAGUUGUUGGGGAUUCAUUCCUUAGUAACGUAGCUAACGCGUGAAGUUGACCGCCUGGGGAGUACGGUCGCAAGAUUAAAACUCAAAGGAAUUGACGGGGUCAUAGCUGUUUCCU